GAUGAACGCUAGCGGCAGGCCUAAUACAUGCAAGUCGAACGGGAUCCAUUUGUUAGCUUGCUAACAAUUGGUGAGAGUGGCGCACGGGUGCGUAACGCGUGAGCAACCUACCCAUAUCAGGGGGAUAGCCCGAAGAAAUUCGGAUUAACACCGCAUAAGACUACGAGAUGGCAUCAUCAAGUAGUUAAAUAUUUAUAGGAUAUGGAUGGGCUCGCGUGACAUUAGCUAGUUGGUGAGGUAACGGCUCACCAAGGCGACGAUGUCUAGGGGCUCUGAGAGGAGAAUCCCCCACACUGGUACUGAGACACGGACCAG
rnacentral:rRNA from 1 species